rfam:Physcomitrella patens subsp. patens PHYPAscaffold_93 genomic scaffold, whole genome shotgun sequence.
GGGGGAGUAGCUCACAUGGUGGAGCGCCUGAUUCGCAUUCAGGAGGUAACGGGAUCGAUGACCGUCUUCUCCA